rnacentral:rRNA from 1 species
UACGUAGGGGCCAAGCGUUGUCCGGAUUUAUUGGGCGUAAAGAGCUCGUAGGCGGUUGGGUAAGUCGGGUGUGAAAACUCCAGGCUCAACUUGGAGAUGCCACCCGAUACUGUCGGACUAGAGUCCGGAAGAGGCGAGUGGAAUUCCCGGUGUAGCGGUGAAAUGCGCAGAUAUCGGGAGGAACACCAAUGGCGAAGGCAGCUCGCUGGGACGGUACUGACGCUGAGGCGCGAAAGCGUGGGGGGCAAACAGG